UACGUAGGGACCAAGCGUUGUUCGGAAUUACUGGGCGUAAAGGGCUCGUAGGCGGCCAACUAAGUCAUACGUGAAAUCCCUCGGCUUAACCGGGGAACUGCGUCUGAUACUGGAUGGCUUGAGUUCGGGAGAGGGAUGCGGAAUUCCAGGUGUAGCGGUGAAAUGCGUAGAUAUCUGGAGGAACACCGGUGGCGAAGGCGGCAUCCUGGACCGAUACUGACGCUGAGGAGCGAAAGCCAGGGGAGCAAACGGG
rnacentral:rRNA from 1 species